AGGCUCAUGAGCAAAUAUAUAAUCAAUUAUAUAUACCCAUAUUUCUUUUCAUCCUGUUUCUUUUUUCCUGAUGCUCCAAGUUUCUUUUUUUUUAUCAUUACUUUUCUGUUUAAAGAACUUUCUUUAGCCAUCUUUCUAACAAUAGGUCUAAUAAACAGAGAGCAGAAUGAUGGUUACUAGGGGCUUGAGGGGGAGGAGGAUGGGGAGAUGCUAGUCAAAGGUUAUAAGCCUUCAUUUAAAGUACAGUGUGGUGGCUAUAGUUAAUAAUACUAUCUUGUGUACUUAAAAUUUCCUUAGAGAGUAGACAUUAAGCAUUCUCACCACACAUACAGAAAAAGGAACUUUGUAAGGCAAUGGAUGUAUUAAUUAGCCUGAUUAUAGUAAUCAUUUCAUAAAGUAUAUGAAGGUCAAAUCAUUACAUUGUAUAUCUUAAAUGUAAAGAAUUUUAUUUGCCAAUUAUACCUCAAAACUGAUACUAAGAAAGAAUAGAUCUAUUAGUGACAAAUUCUUUGUAUUCUCUCUCACAUGGGAAUAUUUCUGUAUUUCCUUAAUUUAUAAAAGUGGUGGACACUUCUUUCCUUUCAGCGUUUAAAGUAAUUUUUGUAGCUUCCUUCUGGCCUCCAUGGUAUCACAUGAGAAAUAUGCUGUCAUUUGAAUUUGUGUUUUCCUAUAGUUCAUGUGUUGUUUCUCUCUGGCUGCUUUAAAAAUUAUUUUCUUUGAUUUUAGUUUUCAGAAUUUUAAUUGUGCUGUUUCUUGGCAGGGAUUUCUUUGAAUGCAUUCUAUUUGAUAUUUACUUAACUUUAUGAACUUGUAAGUUCUUGUUUUCCAUCAAAUUAGGGAAAUUUUAAGCUGUUAUUUAUGUGAAUAUUCCUUUAGUCCUACCCUCUCCUCUCCUUCUGGCACUGUGAUGAUACAAAUUUUGUUUCACAGAUCACUGAGGCUCUAUUCCUUUUUUCUCUCUAUUAUUUAGAUUGGGUAAAUUCCAUUGAUCUGUCAUUCCUACCUACUGAGCCUAUCUAGUGAGUUUUCUUAUAUCUGUUAUUUGGCCACUAUUUGUAAUAACUAAGAUAAAUAAAAAUUUCAAGUUGUGAUGUUUUAUCUAUUCUUUUCUAGUUAUUGCACUAUUUCUAUUUUGUUGUCAUGUCAGCUAGGACCAUCAUUAAAAUGCUUAAUAAUAGAAGUCAUGAUAUCUUUUUAUUUUGCUCUUUUUUUUUUAGGGCUGAACCCAUGCCAUAUGGAGGUUCCCAGGCUAGGGGUCUAAUCGGAGCUACAGCUACCAGCCUACACCACAGCCACAGUAAUGCCAGAUCCAAGCCAUGUCUGUGACCUACACCAAGCUCAUGGCAAUGCCAGAUCCUUAACCCACUGAGCAAGGCCAGGGAUCAAACCUGCCUUCUCAUGGAUCCUAGUCAGAUUCAUUUCCACUGAGCCAUGAUGGGAACUCCAGAAAAAUAUGAUAUUUUUCAUGUAGCUUUUCUUCUCCUUUUCUUUCUUUCUUUUUUUUUUUUUUUUGUAGUCAUCUUUAGUUAAGGAAGUUUUUCCUUUAUCUUGCUAGAAAUUUUUAUAUUGAUGAUGCAUUAAAUUUCAUCAAGUCCUUUUUUACAUCAGUGAGAUGUUAAUGUUUUUCCUUCAAAUCUUUUAAAUAAGCAAAUUACAAAGACAGACUAUCAAAUCUAUGUGCCAUCCUAAUAUAUAUCUGACUUAUUUCUACUUUAUUAUUUCAAAUCCUCCUUGAAUUCAAUUUUCUCAUAUUUUAUUAGGAUUUUCCUUUUAUGCUUAUACCUGAGUUUGAUUACUAAUUGUAUAUAGUGCACUUCUUGUCCAGUUUGGCAUCAAGUUUAUGCUAACCAUUGGAAAGGAUUUUAUAGGAAUUCCUGCUGUUGUGCAGUAGGUUAGGAAUCCUGCAUUGUCUCUGUGGCAGCAUGGGUUCUAUCCCCAGCUUGGUGCAGUGGGUUAAGGAUCCAGCAUUGCCACAUUUAUAAUAUUCUCUGUGUUCUAAAUUUCUGGAACAAUGUGCCUAAGAUGAAAGUUACAUGUUUCUUAAAGUUUUUGUUUAAUACCCCAUAGAAGGUCAUAAAAUGGUAGUAAAAAACACCCCCUAGAAGGAUAUGAAAUAGUAGUGAAAUAUAAUUUUCAAAGAUUUGUUUUCUUUAGAGUUUAUUGGUCUAUUCAACUUUUCUACUUUUUAUUUGGAAAUUUUUGUGUACCUUUAUAUUUCUAAAUUAUUAUCUACUUUAUGAGUGCAAAUAUUUUUGCAUAAAUAUGUACAUAGUCUACUGAUGUGGUAAUCAUCUGAUGUUUUUGUAUUUUACCUUUCCAAUUUUGAUUAUACUUAUCGAGGUUUGUGUUUUUAAUUAGUUUUCUGAAACAACUUUAUUUUAUAAAUAAGUUCUACUGCUUUUUUAUCUUCUCAUUUUCAGCUUUUACAUUUAUUAAUUAAUUUAGAUUGAUUUUUUUUUCAUUUUGCAGUUCCCUUUCUGGUUUUAUAUUUCAAUACUUAAAUUGUUUGUUUUACUCUCCCAUAUUCAGGUACAUUUCCUUCUUCUUAUUACAUUGGCUAUACCUCACACAUAGUGUUUUUGUUAUCAUUUACUUCUAAAUUUUUUUUUAAUUUCUUAUUCAAUUUCUCUUUAAUCAAGGUUAUUUUGUAGCUGUCUUUCUUCUUCUUAAUUUCUAAAUUGUACGGAAUUUAGACAGCACCCUUUAAAAAUUAUUUCUCAAUCUAUUGAAUUUUAGUGUGUGGAUAUGGUUGGUACAAUGUGAUUAUUUUUAAUUAGUUAAGACAUUUUUUGUCAAAUUCUGCAAAUAUUCCAAAUAUGUUUUUGCUCUACCUCUAAAUAAAGAUUAUGCUUUUUUCCCCAGUUUGUUGGUUAAUUUGGUUAUUGAAAUCCUCUAUAAACCUUCUUAUUUGAUUUACUGGUUUCUGAGAAAGAUUUGCUUAAAUCUCCUAUUAUUGCAUGUUUUUCAAAUUCUCCCUUGAGACUUAGUCAACAUGUGCUUACUUUAACAAAAAUAUGUUGGGAUAUGUAAGCUAAUGUUCAUGACUUUUAUAGGUUAUAGUUGAUUUUUCUUUAACAAUACAUACUUUCUUACUUUGCCCCACUUAAUGCUUUCUGUAAUGAAACCUGUUUUACCUACACCUGCUUUUAUUUUAACAUUUACUUCAUGUAAAAUUUUUAUUCAUUUAUUUAUCACCUUUUCUGCCAUCUUACUAAGGUGCCACUCUUAUUAGCAGUCAUCCUUAGACUUUUAAAAAAUCCAAUUUGAGGAUCUCUAUCUGACAGUAGAUAAUUUUAAUCAAUUAAAGUUUAUGUGAAUUCUGAUAGAUUCAGCUUUAUUCCUGCCAUCUUAUUUUGUGUUUUCUCUUUCAUUAUUUUAUUCUAUUCCUAUUUUAUGUUGGAUGAUCAAAUUUAUGUUUGACUUUCCUAUUAUUUGUUUAGAAACUGAAUUCAUAACUCUAAUUCUUUGAGUAUCCACAUAUUAGCAUACUCUUAAUAAAUAUCUAAAAAUAGCAUUAGUCUUUUGCAUUUUCUCUCUCCUUCCUUCAGUGGUCCUACUUAUUUGUAUCAGUUACUCCUUUUUAUCUGCAAUUUCAGGUCUUUCUUCAUUUUAAAUUUUAAAUAUUCUUUUACAUAUUUCAGGUCUCUUAUUUUGGUACAUAGUUAUCUGGUUUUUUCCUUAAUCCAUCUUCUAUGUUAUCACCUCUCUUAUCAUUUUAUUGCCUUUAUUUUUUCCUUGUUCUUCUAUGUAAUCUUAGAAAGCUAUUUUAGGUACUCUACACAUAACUAAUUUAUGUUGUAAUAAUCAUCCGUGCUUGUAAUGCUUUUUUGAAAUAUGUUACAGUAUUCAUUUCCCUCUACACUUUUUUUCAUUAUACUACCUAUAUCUUUUAUCUCUAUUUUAUUUCAUCAGCAUAGCUUUCAUCUCCUCUCUAGAUUUCAGUUUAUUUCUGUGAACAUAGUGCAGAUGCUGGCUAAAAUUUCCUCUUAUUCUUGCAAUCAUUUUAACAAACUAUAUCCUCUGUAUCUCUUUAGUGUUACCUUUAUUUCUUAUUCUGAAAAAUCUUUUGGCCCACUUGUUAGUUCUUUCUGUUGCAAACUUGAAUGUUGCCUGAUAUUUGUCCAAAGUGUGGAUGGAUUCUCCUUAGAUUCCUUCAUUAGUCUCUAGGAUACUCAUAAAAUCUUUUGUUCACAACUUUAAUUUGAAAGUUGAUUAAAAUAAGUUUUUUUAAUCUGUUUGGUGAUUCAGUAACCUGAAGGUAAUGGUAAGAUGCUAUUGUAUUGAGCAGCCCUGGUAUAUAGUAAUUUUAUUUUUUCAUAGAUUUUAUUUCAAGAAUCAACUUUCUGCAUUUAGUUUUUCAUUAGCCUGACUUCCACUUCAGACACAUAAUUCAUUGUCCAUUUUUAUUCUUGGUGCUGGUGCCCACAAUGCCAGAGAAAACCCUGAUAUAUUAAGAAAUGAUUUUAAAGUCCUAAAUAAAUGAAGAGAUUUACCUCGUUCAUGGAUCUGAAGAUUCACUGUUGUGGAGAUAUUGACAAUUCCCAAAGUGAUUCAUAGAGUCAAAUUAAUGCCAGUCAAAAUCUCAGCAGGAGCUUUGCUUAUAAAUUGAAAACUCAUUCUACAAUUCAUAUGGAAAAGUAAAGUUACUAGAAUAGCUAAUAAAAUAAUUCUGAACAAUACCUUAUUACAAGAUUUACAAUAAAUCUAAUGUAAUCAAAACAAAAUGAUACUGACAAAGAGACACACAUAUCAAUGAACAAAAUAGAGAAAUCAGAAAUAGACACACAGGUAUGUUCCCGUCGUGGCGCAGUGGUUAACGAAUCCGACUAGGAACCAUGAGGUUGCGGGUUCGAUCCCUACCCUUGCUCAGUGGGUUAAUGAUCCGGCGUUGCCGUGAGCUGUGGUGUAGGUUGUAGACGCGGCU
rnacentral:lncRNA from 1 species